ACAAUCAAGAAACCCAUACCCACUGUACAAAAUUAUACAAAUUAUGAACCACACAAUAAGAUUUAUCUGUAUAGACAUGCAUCUAAGAAUUGAAAGUGCGAGACUGAAGAACUAAACCCAAAAAAACUGUGGCCGAGCUCCUAAGCAUAGAUGAAAUAGCCACUAAAAUCGAUCCUAUUGAGCUACCAGCUCUGAUGUCUCAAUACCAUAUCCCCGAAGAGCAAUAUGAAGCAGAAGCGUGUCAAGAUCAUGUUUGAGCCGAUCACCAGUUUGAGGAAGGAGAUCGAGUAAUCAUCUAUGAAGAACAACUCAAUGCCAAACUAAGGUUCCCCUUGGAUCCUUUUAUAUCAAAGUGCUACAAUAUUGUUAAUUGUCAAUAACUCAACUUCUUCUGAACUCUUGGCGACCAUUGGUAAGCGUCCAAGCAAUGUGCCUAGCCAAACACCUAGCAGCGACGGAGAAAGUGUUUGCCAGCUUAUAUUGUUUGGGAAUAAGAAAAAAUGAGGAGGCAAAAAAGAAUGAUGAGUUCUAGUUCUUUCAAGCACAACCGAACUCUUAGCUAUUUGCCGACCUCCCAUCCUUAUUGAAAAACUGAAAAGGGAGAUUCUUCAUUCUUCAUAGCCAAGCUUGAAUUAGGUGGGAAGGAAUUCAACGAAAUUAGAACUAUCUAGUAGAUAAAAACAAAAAAAGGCCCCAUCUAAACCCAACUAAAGAUAUAUCAGUAGCAAAGCUAAAGGAUAAAGGGAAGAAAGAACGCUUCAAAAUCGCCAAUGUUGUAAAAGCCGAGCUAAAUUAGUGGUUUAGUACUUAUAUAGCAAAGAUGGACACCCUUAUGGAGAUAGUUGAUUUUGGGCUUGCCCGUGGUAUUCUUGAAAACUCCCUAUCUUACAACUAUAAUACUUACGAACUUCUUUUUCUGUGCAGAAAUGGUGAGCAAUCAAAGGCAAGAAAUCGCAUGAAUAAUUAGAGAUUUAAAAAAGUAAAAGGCGGCUGAGCUUGGGUGAACUCCUCUAGCGAAGAAAAGCUGAACCAAAGAAACACCACUUGCUACCGUGCCUACUGCUUCCAAUUCCAUGGGUUCGCCCCCUAGCUUCACUCAUUCUACUAGUGAACCAGCUGUGCCUACCUCUUCUUUCAAACGUGUGCUCGGUAGGAUUGCACCAGUCUCUCUUGGUUCCCAAAUUUUAACCUAAUAAGAAUAAUAAAGAUUUUGCUCAAGUUCUGAGCACUUCAGUAUGUUUAUUUGAAGGCCAAAACCGAUUGGAGAAAGAGAGCCUCAAGGACCUGAUGCUCUACUCUAGUAGCCUGAAACUAGAAGCUAUAGCCACUAAUCACAUGGCUAGAGAAAAAGUUUGCCAUCUCAAGGGCACCUUCCAACAAAUGGGUUAGGAAAACAUGGCAUUGAAAACUUGGCUUCCCACUCAAAAUUCCCAAGUGGAGCUUUCUAAUAACCUCAAAGCAUCCAAAGCCAUCGUCCAUAAACUUCGAGAAGAGCUAGAAGUUCAAAAAUUGAACUUGGAAGUGGAGAAGAAAAAGACAACCAAGCUGGAAAGGUGCUUGAAGUCCUUUGAGAUCAAAGCAAAUCAAAGGGUAGCCAUAGCUUAUGUGGAUGCUCAUAAUGAUUACCUAAAAAAAGUUGACCAAGAGAUACCCUAAUGAGGACUUCACUUGGAUGGAUGAGCUAUCACCAGAAGAGAGUGAGGGGGAGGAAGGAGCCACUAGCCCAUAAAAUCCAUUUGUUUCUGAUCAUUUUGGGACUGAUCACCCCACUAGUUAAUCUUGUAACUUUGUAUGUUGAAAUCAAUAAAGUAUGUUUUCCUAAUUUUUAUUUGUUACUAAAGUUUCAUUUUGUUUAUUUUGCUAAGUUGCAUAAAAAUCCGAACUACUCUCUAACGUGGAUAUCACUUUUUUUAAGUAAAUUCAACUAAUGAGAGUUUUAUUCUGGUGCCUUAAAAACUUUGAAUGAACAAGAUACCGCUUUUAGUGUCUUUUGAAGGCUUUGGGCAAAAAAUCCCUAUAGUACUUUUUUAGAAUGUCUGAGAAAUUGUCUUAGUGCUUAUGAGUAGGAGAUCAUCAUAGCACCAUGUUAGAGCGUUUUGUGGGUGAGAGAUCACCUUAGUGCCAUGUUAGGGCAUUUGUGGGCGAGAGAUCGCCUCAUUGCCA
rnacentral:misc_RNA from 1 species